AGUACGGCGGAACACGUGAAAUUCCGUCGGAAUCUGGGAGGACCAUCUCCCAAGGCUAAAUACUCCCUAGUGAUCGAUAGUGAACCAGUACCGUGAGGGAAAGGUGAAAAGCACCCCGGAAGGGGAGUGAAAGAGAUCCUGAAACCGUGUGCCUACAAAUAGUCAGAGCCCGUUAAUGGGUGAUGGCGUGCCUUUUGUAGAAUGAACCGGCGAGUUACGAUCCCGUGCGAGGUUAAGCUGAAGAGGCGGAGCCGCAGCGAAAGCGAGUCUGAAUAGGGCGUUUAGUACGUGGUCGUAGACCCGAAACCAGGUGAUCUACCCAUGUCCAGGGUGAAGUUCAGGUAACACUGAAUGGAGGCCCGAACCCACGCACGUUGAAAAGUGCGGGGAUGAGGUGUGGGUAGCGGAGAAAUUCCAAUCGAACCUGGAGAUAGCUGGUUCUCCCCGAAAUAGCUUUAGGGCUAGCCUUAAGUGUAAGAGUCUUGGAGGUAGAGCACUGAUUGAACUAGGGGUCCUCAUCGGAUUACCGAAUUCAGUCAAACUCCGAAUGCCAAUGACUUAUCCUUAGGAGUCAGACUGCGAGUGAUAAGAUCCGUAGUCAAGAGGGAAACAGCCCAGAUCGCCAGCUAAGGUCCCAAAGUGUGUAUUAAGUGGAAAAGGAUGUGGAGUUGCUUAGACAACUAGGAUGUUGGCUUAGAAGCAGCCACCAUUUAAAGAGUGCGUAAUAGCUCACUAGUCGAGUGACUCUGCGCCGAAAAUGUACCGGGGCUAAAUACACCACCGAAGCUGCGAAUUGAUACCAAUGGUAUCAGUGGUAGGGGAGCGUUCUAAGUGCAGUGAAGUCAGACCGGAAGGACUGGUGGAGCGCUUAGAAGUGAGAAUGCCGGUAUGAGUAGCGAAAGACGGGUGAGAAUCCCGUCCACCGAAUGCCUAAGGUUUCCUGAGGAAGGCUCGUCCGCUCAGGGUUAGUCAGGACCUAAGCCGAGGCCGACAGGCGUAGGCGAUGGACAACAGGUUGAUAUUCCUGUACCACCUCUUUAUCGUUUGAGCAAUGGAGGGACGCAGAAGGAUAGAAGAAGCGUGCGA
rnacentral:rRNA from 1 species